rnacentral:rRNA from 1 species
GACGAACGCUGGCGGCGUGCUUAACACAUGCAAGUCGAGCGGAAAGGCCCUUCGGGGUACUCGAGCGGCGAACGGGUGAGUAACACGUGAGUAACCUGCCCCAGACUUUGGGAUAACCCUCGGAAACGGGGGCUAAUACUGGAUACGACACAGCUUCGCAUGGGGUCUGUGUGGAAAGUUUUUCGGUUUGGGAUGGGCUCGCGGCCUAUCAGCUUGUUGGUGGGGUGAUGGCCUACCAAGGCGACGACGGGUAGCCGGCCUGAGAGGGCGACCGGCCACACUGGGACUGAGACACGGCCCAGACUCCUACGGGAGGCAGCAGUGGGGAAUAUUGCACAAUGGGCGGAAGCCUGAUGCAGCGACGCCGCGUGAGGGAUGACGGCCUUCGGGUUGUAAACCGCUUUCAGCAGGGACGAAGCGUAAGUGACGGUACCGGCAGAAGAAGCGCCGGCCAACUACGUG